AGCUCCAAUAGCGUAUAUUAAAGUUGUUGCAGUUAAAAAGCUCGUAGUUGGAUUUCUGGCAGGAGCGUCCGGUCUCACACUCAGUGCGGGAACUUGGAUGUCUCUGGCCAUCUUUGGGGAUAUCCUGUUUGGCAUUAAGUUGUCGGGCAGGGGAUACCCAUCGUUUACUGUAGAAAAAAUUAGAGUGUUUAAAGCAGGCUUAUGCCGUUGAAUAUAUUAGCAUGGAAUAAUAAGAUAGGACGUAGGUACUAUUUUGUUGGUUUG
rnacentral:rRNA from 1 species